CAGUAGCCACGGUAAUACGUAGGGUGCAAGCGUUAAUCGGAAUUACUGGGCGUAAAGCGUGCGCAGGCGGCUAUGCAAGACAGAUGUGAAAUCCCCGGGCUCAACCUGGGAACUGCAUUUGUGACUGCAUGGCUAGAGUACGGUAGAGGGGGAUGGAAUUCCGCGUGUAGCAGUGAAAUGCGUAGAUAUGCGGAGGAACACCGAUGGCGAAGGCAAUCCCCUGGACCUGUACUGACGCUCAUGCACGAAAGCGUGGGGAGCAAACAGGAUUAGAUACCCGCGUAGUCCCUGUCUCUUAUAC
rnacentral:rRNA from 1 species